rnacentral:rRNA from 1 species
UACGUAGGGAGCAAGCGUUGUCCGGAUUUAUUGGGCGUAAAGAGCUCGUAGGCGGCUUAGCAAGUCAGGUGUGAAACCUCCAGGCUUAACCUGGACGACGCCACUUGAUACUGCUAUGGCUUGAGUUCGGUAGGGGGAGACUGGAAUUCCUGGUGGUAAGCGGUGAAAUGCGCAGAUAAUCGAGGAGGAACACCCGUGGCGAAGGCGGCACCUCGUGGGACGGUACUGACGCUGAGACGCGAAAGCGUGGGGAGCAAACAGG